rnacentral:rRNA from 1 species
UACGGGGGGAGCAAGCGUUGUUCGGAUUUACUGGGCGUAAAGGGCGCGUAGGCGGCGUGACUAGUCACUUGUGAAAUCUCCGGGCUUAACUCGGAACGGUCAAGUGAUACUGUCGUGCUGGAGUGCAGAAGGGGCGAGUGGAAUUCUCGGUGUAGCGGUGAAAUGCGUAGAUAUCGGGAGGAACACCUGAGGCGAAGGCGGGUUGCUGGAC